GUGCUUGCUUUGGCAGCACAUAUACUAAAACUGGAAUGAUAUAGAGAAGAUUAGCAUGGACCCUGCACAAGGAUGUAAAUUCAUGAAGCAUUCUAUAUUAAAUUUUU